CCCAAGAAUACACCUUGUCUUUGCUCUCAUAUCUCCGUCAACAGCUUUAUGUUCCUGAUUUGGAUUUCAAUUCAAAUUCAAAUUCAUAAUAAGAACAUGCUUAUCUCUCUAAACACCUCUUUCAUCUCUUCCCUCCAACAUCUACCAAAGGUUUCAACCAAAUCAUUUCAUCGCAGUCCUCUUCGUAUCAAUCCUCACCAUUAUCAGGUUUCUAAAACCAAUCAACAAUGAGCUAUUGUUUCCAGAAGAAAAAAGAAAGAAUCAGACUUGUUGAUCUUCCUUGUAGAUUCCUACUUGUUUUGACUUGGAGAUGGCUUAUUUCCUUGCUCAGCAACCGUCUUGGUUCUGCCACAAAUUCUCAAAUCUUGCUCAAUAUGGUAUAUUUUAUUUAGACCCUUUGGAAAGAUUUCUCAUGAUUUAUAGUUGUUGGUUCUGGAUUAGAUUAAAGGUGACUUGGUUUGCUAGUGCUGGUCUAUUGUACAGACGUGAUCAGCCUCAUUAUAGAAAGGUUUGGUGGCUUGUGGAUUUUUAGAAAUUCCAUUUGAACUCUUGGAGAGGUAUAGAGUUUGAUGGU